GAGUUUGAUCCUGGCUCAGAUUGAAGGCUGGCGGCAGGCCUAACACAUGCAAGUCGAGCGGAUGAGGGGAGCUUGCUUCCCGAUUCAGCGGCGGACGGGUGAGUAAUGCCUAGGAAUCUGCCCGAUAGUGGGGGACAACGUUUCGAAAGGAACGCUAAUACCGCAUACGUCCUACGGGAGAAAGUGGGGGAUCUUCGGACCUCACGCUAUCGGAUGAGCCUAGGUCGGAUUAGCUAGUUGGUGAGGUAAUGGCUCACCAAGGCGACGAUCCGUAACUGGUCUGAGAGGAUGAUCAGUCACACUGGAACUGAGACACGGUCCAGACUCCUACGGGAGGCAGCAGUGGGGAAUAUUGGACAAUGGGCGAAAGCCUGAUCCAGCCAUGCCGCGUGUGUGAAGAAGGUCUUCGGAUUGUAAAGCACUUUAAGUUGGGAGGAAGGGCAGUAAGUUAAUACCUUGCUGUUUUGACGUUACCAACAGAAUAAGCACCGGCUAACUUCGUGCCAGCAGCCGCGGUAAUACGAAGGGUGCAAGCGUUAAUCGGAAUUACUGGGCGUAAAGCGCGCGUAGGUGGUUCAGCAAGUUGGAUGUGAAAGCCCCGGGCUCAACCUGGGAACUGCAUCCAAAACUACUGAGCUAGAGUACGGUAGAGGGUGGUGGAAUUUCCUGUGUAGCGGUGAAAUGCGUAGAUAUAGGAAGGAACACCAGUGGCGAAGGCGACCACCUGGACUGAUACUGACACUGAGGUGCGAAAGCGUGGGGAGCAAACAGGAUUAGAUACCCUGGUAGUCCACGCCGUAAACGAUGUCAACUAGCCGUUGGGAGCCUUGAGCUCUUAGUGGCGCAGCUAACGCAUUAAGUUGACCGCCUGGGGAGUACGGCCGCAAGGUUAAAACUCAAAUGAAUUGACGG
rnacentral:rRNA from 1 species